rnacentral:rRNA from 1 species
GGUGACUCGAUCAGGAG